UUGGCUUCAUGAAUGCAUCUAUAAAUUCAUGAAGACCUCACUUGUAAAACACUUUGGAUUCUAUGAGAAAUUUCUGCCAAUUCUGAAAUUCUUCUCAACUUAGCAAAUGCUUGCCAAAGUCACUUCUUCUCUCAACUCUCUCCCACCUCUUAGCUUUCUUCCAACAAUGGAAGCUGCCUGAAGCUAGGACCACCUCAUUCCCUCUCUGCCGCCACUAGCAUCCAUCCAGAUCCAUCAACUUUCCGCUGCCACCUGCUGGAACUAUGCCUUCUCGGAGUCUCACUUCAACCAAGCAAUGGAGAGGCUUAUCAAGUGGUAUUCAGAGCCUUGUUGCUGAUCCACAUUUCAGAUAAGUCACUGUUACAUUGCCUUCAUCCGUGUUGUGCUGUUCUAUUCCUAAAUUCACUGUUUCAUUGAGUUUUUCUUUACUGCAUCUGUGUGAGUGAGUCUUUGGUCAUCAUUCAUGUGUUCCUUAGUGUUUCCUCCACAUUUUAAUCGGUGCAUCUUGUGUGUUCUUCAUUUUAUUCAGCUUUAAAUUUCAGAUUCCAGUUUUGUCAAGUCUUGUGCUAUGAUUUCAGCAGUUUUGAAUUGUUAUUUGGUUUUCCAUUCAGCAANUGUGUNUCUGUGUUUGANUUAGAUCAGUGCANUGAUAGCUCUUCUUUGAUCUUAAAAAGCAUCAAGACUUUGUCUAGCUUUGAUCACAUGAGCUUAGCAUGGAAGGAAAACACCAAUUCUGCAAAAAUUUCUGAAUUCUGCGUUAACGUUCUCUGUUGCUAAAUCUGGAACUACUUUGCUUACUGUUCAGUCCAGAUCUGUGUGGUUUGGUGUUUGCUGCAAGUAUCCUUUAUGAUUUUAAACUUGUUUCAAGUGUAUACUAACCAUUUGCAUCAUUGAAUCACAGAAGCUAUAGUGGAGUUACGGGAUUUCCCGAAUAUACAGUAACAAAAUUCACUGCUGUAUCCGUUUCUGUUAUGAAAAUUAAAGUCUGUGAUUCAGAGGUGUGUGCAAUUUGUUUAGAUGGUUUGAAUUGAUGUUAACCACUUCAAUAAUUGAUUUAAUUCAAAUCUGAUGUAUGGGGAUUAAAGCAAUUACGUUGCUGCAUUAAAAUCUGUCAUGAAUGUGUUGUUGUUUCUGGUUGAACUCUGCACCGUGUUCUUUGCUUUGCCAGUCAGUAGGCCAUUUCAAUUCUGCUAGUCUUAUCUUCUAAAGCUAGAUCUAGACUUAAUUUCCUUGAAUUCAUUGUUCCUAAACCAAUUUGAAUCCAGUUCAUAUUGAUUUCAUAAACUGCUGCAGNUGUUACAAACAAAUUAACAAACAAAGUUAAAAAUAAUUAAACUCAACACUAACUCAAACACAUUAAACUCAACCUAUUAAAAAAUUAAUUAAAAACCAAAGAAACCAACAAGCCUAAUUUAAUCCUAGCAAUUAACUUGACUAAAUGACAAUUAGCAAUUAAUUUUAAAAGUCCAAUUGGUCAAAUAGAACCUCAUGGUCGUGCACUACUCUCCACAAAAACUAAAUCAAUUUUUAAUCUUCAAUGAGCCACCAAAUUUGUUGUCUUUUUGUCCCCAUAUGCAUCAUGUCUAUAAAGAAAUUAAAAUAUGUUUUAAAUAACCAAUUGAAAACCUUCCCAUCACUUCUCCAUGCAGCAAUUUCGGAAUCCACACUCCAAGACCACAAAAAGCCGAACCUAACAAGUGAAUUCUACAAAAAUAAUGCUUCAAAGACCAAUGUGCAAAUGGAAGAUACCUUGGGUGCUCCUACCAAUGUGCCAAGUAGGCUAAACCAAAUGAAAACAAACUCCAAAAACGUCUCACCACCGAAGCACCAAGCAAGCUCCCCUUAGAGCAUGUUCAUACAUGAAAACCCUAGGAGAGAAAAGUUCAAAACCAUGAAGUAUGAAGUGUGUCAAAUGGUGGCUCGCUAUUCUCCCCCUUAAGACCGAGAGUCCUCCCCAAGGUGGGGUCCACAAAUAAUUUAAAACCCUAACCGAAAAGACACAUGUCCUACACAUGUUUUUUUUUACAAAAUUGCCCCUAAAAGGGUCCAAAACACCUAAUUCUAAUUAUGGACUUCUAGAAAACGAAAUUACAACUUUAAUCAGAAUCUAAAUGACUAAAUUUUGAGCAUUUGAAUGUGUCACACCAUAUCAUAAUGCUCCAGAUGAUGUUUCCACAACUUCCCUGCAACCAGAAAUGCGCUUAAUCAGCUUAGAAAAUCCAAAUUAGCACAAUUACGAAUUUCCGACCAAAUGAAGCAGAAUUCGGAAAAUGGGGAAAUAACAGAAAAUUAUGGUUUAUUAAAAUGCAAUAAAUUAAAUACAUUUCAAGAAAUAACGACUCAUCACCAACGGAGCAUCCCAUCUUCAAAGCAGCAGCCCAAUUCAGCUUGAGCAACUCUUCCAUUCAAUGUUGACCCAGACGUGGCUUGGCCCAAUUUUAGCACCAGAGUUUCCUUAAAACGCACAACAUUAGCACGUCAUUACCUAGCCCAACCAUUCAAAUCAUUGUCGGCCCAAAUUGCAUGGCCCAUUUUUCCAAUAGCUAAUCCUGUAAAAAGAAUGAAAAUGAAGAAUUAUACAACAAAAAGAAAAAAUAAAAUUCUAUAACAACAAAAGAAAUUCUUAUUUUUAUUUUCUGAACUUUUUCUAAAAAUUAAAAUAACCUAUUUAUUUAAAAAUAUUUUAUUUAACUAAAAAGACAAAAUUAACACUAUUUUAACAAAAAUCCUAUUUUUUUCCUAAUUAUUCUAAACUACCUUAAUUCUAGAAAAUUAAAAGCUAAACUAUCUUAAAAGAAGAAUAUGAACACACAAAAAUGGGAAAAAAUAGAGACAUAACAGUUUGAAUUUAUGUUUAAAAAAUAUUUAAAACGGACCAAUCACAAACUACCACGUAUGUAUUGUAAAAAAAUUAUCAAAAAAUAAUUGUUAAAAGAGCUUUUUCCUUAAGGUAUUAGCCAAAUGAUACAAGAAGAAGUUAAAAAUGAUAGAUAAAUUCAAGUGGGUAAGGAGAAGAACAACUAAAGUAAAGAAUGCAAAAACAAAUAAAGGUAUAUUAACAUAAAAACUGAGCAUAUAAAAAAUGGCCUGACCAACACCCAAACAAUCAGUAGAGAUUACAAAAUAAACAAUUGUUCAAUGUUUUAGCAAAGUGAAAACCCCAUAGCCUAUUUGAGACAACUGUCAAGUCAUCCCCAAUGGCCCAAUCCUCAGUCGACCCUUUUCCCUAGCUAGUCUGAUCAUCAACAAUCUCCAUCAUUGGCUUAUUUUCUUUGAUUCGAGAAUGAAGGCUCAGAAGCUUCCUGUCGUGAAGCUCUUUCAUCACAUCAAACUCCCACUGUCUAAGGGGAUCCAAAAGAAGAAUGUAGCUCGAGACGAUGCCUAUUUGAAACUGGUCAUGUGUUCGUUGAAUAGCUCCUCGUUGACCUCUUCUACCUCAAUAGUAAGACCAUCUUCCUACUUAGUCAAAUCCUUGCUAAAGCUUGGUGUUCUUGAGGGUCAUCUCAUCGAUGGUGUUCGUUAGCUUCUAACAAUCUAAGUUCAAAUCAUCAAUUUUUCAUUGUAGCUCACAAAUAGCUAGCUUGGCAGUAACUAAUGAAACCAAAGGAAAACAUUACAAGAUGGAGGGAGUUGAAUAGUGUUUUCAAAUUCUUUUUCAAAUGUAGUCUCUCACCAGUAUUAUGAAGUAAGUGAUUCUUGAAAAUUUGUUUAGAUGUUGUUGUUUUGCAAAGCCUUUCAAAAGAUAUAAUAAAACAGACUCUGAACACUAAGAAAUAUGUUUCGUAAUUCAAUGUCUAGAGAAUAAUAAAAUGAUACAUAUUUAUAUUUUUUUAUAUUAAACCACUUACUUCAUAAUACUUGUCAGAAACUAUAUUUGAAAAAGAAAUUGUAAAAUAUAUUAAAAUUCUCUAAUGUUCGAUAGUGUGGAUUGAUCUAGCCAUUCAAAACAACUUCUGAACCUCUAAACCUUAGCUUUUAAGAAUACUUCUUUCACAUGACCCACCAAUAUGCCUCUGUCAAACUAAAAACACUAUCCAUCUAUAAUCAAACAGUAUCAAUAAAUAAUAAAUGAUAUAUAAGAAGGUAAUAAAAAGUGAUAAAAAUAAUGAAACAUAUAUCAACUACAUUACAGAUAUAAUUAUUAAAAAUUUGUGAAGUUCUAUAUACAUAUAAUUCAUUUAACUUUUUAUUAAAUAAUAUCAGUUUAAUUUUUAUAUACUAAAAGUAUGAAAAAUUUAUUGAACAAAAAGAAUAUUUUUUUUUUGUAAUUUAAUAUAAAAAUAAUAAAUAUAUUUUUUUAGGGAUAAAUAUUUUACAAGACAAAGUUAGUAAUGACAAUUUUUGUAUUGUAUUUAUUAUUUUUAAAAUAAUAUUAAAAAAAAUAAACAAGUAAUUAAUAUUUUAAAUAUAAGUUAAUAAAAGAGUAAAAUAACUCUAUAGAAACAUAUAAAUAAAAGGAUAAAAACAAACAAAAUGAGUAAAAAAAGUAGAAUAACUUUUUAGAAACAUAUUGCGACAAAAUAAAUAUGGAUAAAAAGUUAAUUUACAAUAUCAAAUGACCAAAAAACCAAGAUUUGAAACUUUCAACAAAAUAAAUAUGGAUAAUAAAAUAAAUUUCAUAGUAUCUUCUUUUUUAUAUUAUAUUUUUGUACCAUCAACAAAUAUAUAAUAUUUUUUAAAACAAUAUUAUUUUAAGAAAUAAAAAUAAAAUAAGGUUUUAAAUUCAGUUUGAUUAAGUGACCAAGUAAAUAGAAAUCAUAAAAGAAUGAAAUUAUACUUAAAAAAAGUAAAAUAUAAAAAAAAAUAUUUCAAAUAUAAAAUAUUUUUUAAUAUAAUAAAUGAUAAAAGAAUAAAACAAUUGUCUAGAGAACGAAAAAGAAAAAUCGAUAAAAGAAUAAAAACGUAACAAAUUAAUAAAUAACUCUUUAUGAACAUGUAAAAAUAAAAUAAAUAUAAAAAGUAAAACAAAUAUGAAGCUUUGGUGAAAUGUAGAUCAUGAGAAUGUUAAGGGUUGUGUAAUGGUAUACUAGUGUUGGUAUAAUAUUUGAUUAAAAAUAUUUAACUUUAUAAAAUAAAUAAAAAUUUGUAUAUUAUAUUAUAUUGUUUAGGAUAUUACAUUAAUAUUAUAUUCUUUACGCAUUAUAUAGGAUAUUGAUUUAUUUAAUUGUUUAAUUUAGUUUAACAAUAUUAAAAUUUAUACUUAAUAUAAAGGAGUUGAAUUAUAACAAGGAGGUUAAAAGUUAAACUAACCUAAUUUUAUUUCAGAUAUUAUGAAAACUUAUUAACUUUGAACAAAAUAGUUAGAAAAUUUGGAAUCAAUGACUAAUACAAAAUAAUUAAAAUUAUUAUAAACAUGUUAAUAUAAUUAAUGAAAAUUCACUAAUGUAGAUUUAUAUUUUUAACCAAUUUUUUAUACUUAUUUUAGAAUUGAUAUAAAAAAAAAAAGAUUUUCUUAUCGGCUUUGAAAUGUUAUAAAAAGAGAAUCUUUUAUAUCAAUUAUAAAAUCGAAUACUCUUAUACAUCUUUCUAAUCAAAGUAAAUUAUAAUUUGUACAAAAUUUAAAUUUGAUCUUUGUUAUGAAAUAAAAUAUUUUAUGUAUAUAUGUAUCAAGAAGAAUAAUGUUUAUACAUUCAUAAAAAAAUCUGCCAAUGAAUAAAUAUUUUCAAUCAUUAAUAAUUUAAUCGAUGGAAUAUUUCCUGGAAUGACUAAUUCAAUCAGACUUUGACAUGAAUCAUACAAAUCAAUGUUUCUGCUAUGAACACAGGUUUGUGAAGAGACUGAUCCUUCGUUAAAAAAUUCUGAAAGUAAUUCGUCUGCUAAAGCACAUGAAUCUAGGUUUUUAAUGUUAUCUGGAAUGUCUCCAAGAAUGACAAAAUCUGAAAGACUCUCAGUGAAAUCUUGAGACUUAUUGAUAUUGUUGCAACUUUCAUAGGAAUCUUCCUUUUUUCCUUCAUUGGAUAUUCGUCGAGAAUGAUAAUCUUUAGAAUAAAGAACAAAACAUCGUCUACGAAUCCUUCUAAUAUUGCUUCUACGUUUCUUCACUAUUUUGAAACCUAAAUUACACACCUUGUGAUUGCUUCUUACUUUCAUUGAUAGAUAUUACUAACUUCUUCCACUUCUUCUCAAUGAUUAGACUUUAUUAAAAAAUAAAAUGUUCAAAAUAUAUAUAAUGAAAGUUUAUAUCUUGAAAUAUUAUAGAUAUUUAAUUAUUUUAUCUUUUAUAUCAAUUUAAAAGUUAAAUCUUAACACAAUCAAUCUUUCAUUUAAAAAAUAUUUGUUUUGAAUUGAUUUUCUGUUAUAAUAUCUUUAUGUUAUGAUUGAAAUUUUUUAUUAAUUUUGAUAACAUUGGUUUAUAUUUAUAGAAAAACAAUCUAAGUGAAUUAUUUAACUUUUAGAUAUAUUAUUUAAUGAUUUAAAUUUUUUUCUAUCCAAUUUAAUAUAAAUCCAUUACGCAAAAUUUAUUUUUUUAUUUUAAAACAGUACCAAUAAAUAAUGCUAUAUAGCAAAGAUGAUAAUAAAAAUAAUUAAAAAAAUAUCAACUAGAUAUUUACAAAUUGUUAUUUAAUUAGUAUUAUUUUUUUAGUAUAGGUAUUUAAAUAGAUUGUUACAAUAUAUAUUUAUUUAUAAUAAAAUAAGAGCUAAAGUUAUUUUGAAUUCAAUAUAAUUCUAUAAAUAAGUAUGAAUGUCAUAAUAACAGGGCUUAUAUAUGGAAAUAGCAAUAUAAAGUAGAUGAUAAUAUAUGCACGUAAUUUUAAAUUCGAUUGAUUUCAAAAUCUAAUUUUAUAGUUUCAUCCAAUCUAAGAAAAUAUUUUGAUUUUGGAUUGAAUUAAAUCAAAUCUACAAAAUAUAUAUACAUAUAUAAAGAGAAUAUAUACACAAAUAACAGUAAAAGAUUAUUUUUAUAAUUAUAACAUCCCAAAAUAUAUAGAAUAAUCACGUAUUAUAUGAUAGAUUAAUUAUCCAAAAGUUUUUAAAGUAUUUAAUAAUAUACUUAUCCAAAAAUAACUAUAAAAUUAAAAACUUUACAAAGAUAUUCUUAAGUCUAAUAAUAUAUAUAUAUAUAUAUAUAUAUAUAUAUAUAUAUAUAUAUAUAUAUAUAUAAACAAAACCUAACAAUCAUACUAGAAAAGUAUGAACCAAACAGUUAUACAAAACUAUUCACAUAUCGAACAGUCAUACAACACUCUGUAUACCGAAUGGUCCUAUACUAAGAUGUUGGAGACUCCUCGCUCAACACUUGUUUCAGAGAUCCCGCAUCACAUUUGAUAAUGGUUAAAAAACCAUUAUUUUCAUAUUUGAUUUUAAUGCAAGACACACUUUUUAUGACUGGGAAAUUAGCUUGAAAUGGUGCAUUUUGUCUUAGUUAGGAUAUAAGAGAGUCAAAGGUGGUUUUCUGGGUUUUGUGCUUGGUUUUCCCUUGUUUUUGUAGGAUGUAUCAGGAGUUUGAUGAAGGAAGUGAAGGAAGAGAAGUGUUGGAUGCAAAAUAAGGCGGAAAAGUGAAGAAAAAAGAAUCGCAGCUACCGCCGGGCGGUGAAAUCACCGCCACCGCCAGGCGGUGUGACCUUUAAGGAAUUCUCUGCGACGCGCUUAAGGGGCACUGCCAAGGGGUGAGAUGGGAAUCGCGCAGGUCUUCCCUACAUCAAAUACAAUUCACAAGACCAAAAGAAUUCUCAUUAAGCAUUAGUAAUUCAUGCAACACCCUCUAAACACACUGCCUAUCAUCGUUGAGGGCAAAACAGGGCCCCUUAGUGAUAGCUCCAUCCUUGAGCUAUUCCUCAGAUCCGUGAGAUGCAGAUGCAGAAACGUAGUUGUAGCGGAAGAGAACUGAGAUAGGAUGAUGAGAUGCAGCGAUAGUGUAAGUUUAUGGCACGGUGAGGUGGUUGGAAGUGCUAUGGUGGAAUGAAUCUAGCUUAGAAGGCCUUCACCGUUGGAAGGAAACUAUAGGAGAAAGUGGAAGAAGCACAAGUAGAUGACUCUCGGUGGAGAAUGGCUAAAAGCAUAUGCUCAGAAAUUUCAUUUCUCUCAAUAUCCAAAAGUGUUUGCCUAAGCUGAUACAAGCAAAUUUAUAGUGAGAAAUCCUAGCUAUGGACGGUGCGAAUGGUUGUGGAAGAAGCUCAGAUCUCCACACGUGGCAGCGGUGAGGGAUGUGUGUUCAUGCUUCUGGAUGAUGCAAGGCAACGUGCGUGGGCAGCCAUCGUUCCAGCCAAAUCACGUAUCAGAUAUGGUGAUAGUGUGAUACAUGUGUAUUUUCUUGAGGCAGCUCCAUGCUUGCUAUUCUCACCCCCCACCCCCUUAUGUAAAUGACUCUUUUAUCCUACUCCUUGGACUGGAUUGUUCCAUGCCAAAUCAACUUUAGUCUUCCACACAAAAAAAUGGGCAGUAGUUGACCUUUUGAAGAUCUUUCUAGGGUGUUGUGUAGUUUUCUGAUAAUUCCUCGAGUAAUGGGGCCUUGAUGCAUCACAGUGCUAGGUCCCCAUGUAUCAUCUCCUCCCUCUUGGGAAGGAUUUGUUCUCAAAUCCGAAGGAUCUUCAUCAUCAAUGUCAUAACCUGCAAAAAGUUUAAGGUCAAACACAUUGAAAGUAGAAUGUAUGCCAUAUUCUUGCGGAAGAUCAAGUUGAUAAGCAUUAUUGUUAAUCCUCCGCAACACCUUAAAAGGGCCAUCUCCUCUAGGAUUAAGUUUGGAUUUUCUUAGUUGAUAGCUCCAUGCUUGGCGCUAUAUCACAGAUCCAUGAGCUCCAAAGGUGGAAAUCAGUAGCAGCGGAUGAAAAUGGAAAGAUGCAAUGGAUGUGCAGUGGCAUGAUGUUUAUAUGGUAAGGUGAGAUGGUUUGAAGUGCUUUGCAUGAUGGUGGAUCUAGCUCAAACGACCUUCUCCAUUGGAAGGAAGCUAGAGGAGAAAUUAGAAGAAGCACAAGGUGUUGACUCUCGGUGGAGAAAGGGCUGGAAGCAAAGCAUCAUCAAUUCAUUUCAAUCAUGGAUGGAAGAUUUUCUACAUAUCCUAACAUGAUAUUUUCUUUCAUCCCACCACUCUCUUGCAUGUUUUUCAAACUUAGAAGUGUAAAGACUAAGGAUGUAAGAUUCACAAUCUCUAGAAUAAUAGGAUUAAUAUUUACUUCUGCUAACCAUGAAGAAAUGCAUGUCAUCAAUUUCCCUUUCCCAAGCUAGAUAUGUUAAUGCACCAAUAUCCUCACCAAAGAAUGAAAUAUUUUCCCUAACUUUUUUAUACAAAUUAUCCUCAAUCCUAUCAAACUCAUGAAAUGAACAAGUCUUCCUUCUAGCUUUGUCAUGUUUUCUUUUAUGGUCUUUGUAACUAAGUGGCUUAAAAAUCAUAGAAGAAUAUCUUCUAGACAUUUUUAUGAAUUUAAAAGUUUUCUUGAAGAAAGGAAAAUAAGGUUUUCACUUGAGAGCAAUAUUCCAAGUAAGAGAGAUGGACCUUGUAGGUUGCUUAAAUACCAAGUCUUGCAUUGCCAAAUAUACUCCUAGUUACUUACUAAAAUUUCCUUAAGUUAAAAUUACCUCUAAAUUCAAUAAAAGUCUAAAGACAACAAACAAUCAUGAAGAGAAAAACUAAACUUUAAAACUUUUUCCAAGAGCUUAAAAGAAUUGAAAGAAGUGAGGUCUCCUAGGUGAGGCUUGGAACUUUGGAUCCAAGACACACUUACCGUCUACCAAUUUUAAGUGAAACAAUUAAAGCAAAGUUGGCAAAUGAUGGAACAACACUUCUGAGUUUUUUCUUAUCACUUGCUUGAAUGGCCUUUUUAAAUCCAAAUGAAAUGGUAACAAACAAAAUUUACAAAUUGUAAGGAAAAGAAGGUUUCAGAAGGUUUUAGAAGGUGCAACUUUGGUUUCUCUCAAGUGGAUUUUGCUUGGUAUUAUGGCAGUACACAAUUCUCACAAUUGCUAAAAGUGAAGCUCUUAAUUUGUAGUGAUAUGCAAAGUGAAUCAGACUGUAACAACAACAAUCUGGUACAAUUCAGUAGAAAUGAGUUGCAGCACCGAAAGCCAACAAUCCUGUGUGAUUUCCACCAAUUCUCCACUUCCUAAGAGGCUACCAACGUUAAAGGACCUCUGGUUAGACCAAUCCUGAUACAAGAAGGCCUAGCACCAUAGGACCUAUCACAAGAGGGAUGGUCAAAAAGCUCCAAGAUGAGUAUUCUCCCCAAGGUCAAAUACUAUUUCCUAUUUUUGGAUGGAAGAUUGGAGACCAAGGAAAGGCUCCAAAUGUACCAAAACAUGGAGAAGGGUAAGAUGGUCAUUGCUACCAAAAGGGGAGGUGUUCUUAUCAAGAUAUGGGGCUUCAUUAGAAACUUUCCCUCACAUUUAGAAUAGUGUUUUUCACGUGCUUAAAUAAACCUUUCUAGAAGGUCAUCAUCUUUUCCACAUGGGUGAAAACGUGUAACUUGAUCCAGCUCUUACGGAUCACAUUUUCCUCUUUGCUUGGCUUCAUGAAUGCAUCUAUAAAUUCAUGAAGACCUCACUUGUAAAACACUUUGGAUUCUAUGAGAAAUUUCUGCCAAUUCUGAAAUUCUUCUCAACUUAGCAAAUGCUUGCCAAAGUCACUUCUUCUCUCAACUCUCUCCCACCUCUUAGCUUUCUUCCAACAAUGGAAGCUGCCUGAAGCUAGGACCACCUCAUUCCCUCUCUNCCGCCACUAGCAUCCAUCCAGAUCCAUCAACUUUCCGCUGCCACCUGCUGGAACUAUGCCUUCUCGGAGUCUCACUUCAACCAAGCAAUGGAGAGGCUUAUCAAAUCCCGUCCAGAAUCACCUCAAACAAUUCACAAAUCAAAUGAGAAAUUAGUGGAAUCAAUGAAUCAGCUGCACAAAUUUGCUUCAGAAAAAAAUACUG
rnacentral:lncRNA from 1 species